rnacentral:rRNA from 1 species
AUGUGUAACCACAGAGAGAAGAGAGAUCGAGGGACCUGUGACCAACAUUUGGCCUCAGAGCUAGAUUCGGCGGCGGCGCCGAUGGCCACGACGCCGGAGGGGCUGCAGAAGGCCCUGGAGGAUGCGCUGGCCGAGAUAAACGCGAUGCGGCUGGAGGUGGAGGCGACCAAGGCGGAGUUGGCGGCGGAGAAAGAGAAGCUGGGACUGGUACCGGCGGCGACGGCGCUGCCGGUGAGGUCCCGGGCGCCCAUCAACUACCCACAGCUCACACGCAGCAACUACACGCUCUGGGCGAUGCAGAUGCGUGUGGCGAUGCAGUCGGCGGGAGUUUGGUCGGCGACGAGCUCCGAGGACGUCGACCACGAGAUGGACCGUGACGCCCUCCUCGCCAUCUAUCAGGGGGUGCCGGAAGAUGUCCUGGCGUCCCUCGCCGGCAAGGACACGGCGAAGCAGGCGUGGGAGGCGAUCAAGGUCGUGAACGUCGGCCACGACCGCGUUCGUGAGACGAACCUACAGACCUUGCGGAAGGCGUUCGAAGCUUUGGAGAUGGAGGACACGGAGGCGGUGGACGCGUUCGCGACGAGGCUGAACAGGAGGGUGUCGUCCAUCCGAGCGCUCGGCGACGAGGUUAAGGAGCUGACGGUGGUCCAGAAAAUUCUCCAAGCUGCGCCGGCGAGGUUUAUGCACUUGGUAACCUCGCUGGAGCAGUGUGUCGACUUGAAGACGCUCACCGUCGAGGACCUGUUUGGCCGGUUCAAGGCGCACGAGGAGCGCGUGCGUAUGCGCUUCGGCAGUCCCGUCGACGGGCAGCAGCUAAUGUUGUCCAUCAAGCAGUGGGAGGCGUGGUCGUCGAGGAAGUCGAGCGGCGGUGCUGAAACCUCGAGCAGCGGCGGAAAAAGUGAUGGCGGUAGUAGUCGCGGCGCCAACCGCGGCAAGGCUGCAGAGAAGCCACCACAAGCUGCAAAAGGUGAGAAAAAGAAAAAGAAAUUCAAGUGUUAUAAUUGUGGUGAAAGAGGCCAUUUCUCAAACGCAUGUCCUAAUCCAAAGAAAAAAAAGAAACAACGUUAG